rnacentral:rRNA from 1 species
CUUGACUCUAGUCUGGCACUGUAAGGAGACAUGAGAGGUGUAGCAUAAGUGGGAGACUCCUUUGGGGUCGCCGGUGAAAUACCACUACUUUCAUCGUUUCUUUACUUACUCGGUUAGGCGGAAGGCGUGCGCCGUUCCUUGUGUUCGGCGUACGGUAUUCUUGAACCAAGUUUGGCAAGCUUGUCUUACCGGACGAUCCGAUCCGAGGACACUGUCAGGCUGGGAGUUUGACUGGGGCGGUACAUCUGUCAAAGAAUAACGCAGGUGUCCUAAGGCCAGCUCAGCGAGGACAGAAACCUCGCGUAGAGCAAAAGGGCAAAAGCUGGCUUGAUCCCGAUGUUCAGUAAGCAUAGGGACUGCGAAAGCAAGGCCUAUCGAUCCUUUUGGCUUGGAGAGUUUCCAGCAAGAGGUGUCAGAAAAGUUACCACAGGGA